rnacentral:rRNA from 1 species
GUAACCUGCCUGGUAGCGGGGGAUAACUAUUGGAAACGAUAGCUAAUACCGCAUAACAGUAGAUAUCGCAUGAUAGCUGCUUGAAAGGUGCAAUUGCACCACUACCAGAUGGACCUGCGUUGUAUUAGCUAGUUGGUGAGGUAACGGCUCACCAAGGCAACGAUACAUAGCCGACCUGAGAGGGUGAUCGGCCACACUGGGACUGAGACACGGCCCAGACUCCUACGGGAGGCAGCAGUAGGGAAUCUUCGGCAAUGGACGGAAGUCUGACCGAGCAACGCCGCGUGAGUGAAGAAGGUUUUCGGAUCGUAAAGCUCUGUUGUAAGAGAAGAACGAGUGUGAGAGUGGAAAGUUCACACUGUGACGGUAUCUUACCAGAAAGGGACGGCUAACUACGUGCCAGCAGCCGCGGUAAUACGUAGGUCCCGAGCGUUGUCCGGAUUUAUUGGGCGUAAAGCGAGCGCAGGCGGUUAGAUAAGUCUGAAGUUAAAGGCUGUGGCUUAACCAUAGUACGCUUUGGAAACUGUUUAACUUGAGUGCAAGAGGGGAGAGUGGAAUUCCAUGUGUAGCGGUGAAAUGCGUAGAUA